AGGAUGUCGCUUCUGAAGAGGAGGCGGAAAUCCGUAGUUUAUCUACUAUUAGCAACUAAAGGAAUGAGGCUUUCGCCUUUAUGAGAUAGGGGAAGCUAUUAUUAGACAGCGGCAUCCGAUUCUCCGACUUUAUUAUAUAAUGAGUGGGGGAUUGAUUCGAAGGAUAGAGAAUUGGAAUUGGAAAACUUAAGCCUUUAAUUACCUCCCUCACUGCACACUUUCUAUAU
rnacentral:misc_RNA from 1 species